rnacentral:rRNA from 1 species
AGUAACACGUAUGCAAUCCACCUGUAACAGGGGGAGUAACCCGGAGAAAUCCGGACUAAUACCCCAUAAUAUGGGCGCUCCGCAUGGAGAGUCCAUUAAAGAGAGCAAUCUUGGUUACAGACGAGCAUGCGCUCCAUUAGCCAGUUGGCGGGGUAACGGCCCACCAAAGCGACGAUCAGUAGCCGACCUGAGAGGGUGACCGGCCACAUUGGGACUGAGACACGGCCCAA